rnacentral:rRNA from 1 species
AACCCUUUGUUGUCCGACUCUGUUGCCUCCGGGGCGACCCUGCCUUCGGGCGGGGGCUCCGGGUGGACACUUCAAACUCUUGCGUAACUUUGCAGUCUGAGUAAACUUAAUUAAUAAAUUAAAACUUUUAACAACGGAUCUCUUGGUUCUGGCAUCGAUGAAGAACGCAGCGAAAUGCGAUAAGUAAUGUGAAUUGCAGAAUUCAGUGAAUCAUCGAAUCUUUGAACGCACAUUGCGCCCCCUGGUAUUCCGGGGGGCAUGCCUGUUCGAGCGUCAUUUCACCACUCAAGCCUCGCUUGGUAUUGGGCAACGCGGUCCGCCGCGUGCCUCAAAUCGACCGGCUGGGUCUUCUGUCCCCUAAGCGUUGUGGAAACUAUUCGCUAAAGGGUGUUCGGGAGGCUACGCCGUAAAACAACCCCAUUUCUAAGGUUGACCUCGGAUCAGGUAGGGAUACCCGCUGAACUUAAGCAUAUCAAUAAGCGGAGGAA